rnacentral:rRNA from 1 species
UACGAAGGGGGCUAGCGUUGCUCGGAAUCACUGGGCGUAAAGCGCACGUAGGCGGAUCUUUAAGUCAGGGGUGAAAUCCUGGAGCUCAACUCCAGAACUGCCUUUGAUACUGGGGAUCUCGAGUCCGGAAGAGGUGAGUGGAACUCCUAGUGUAGAGGUGGAAUUCGUAGAUAUUAGGAAGAACACCAGUGGCGAAGGCGGCUCACUGGUCCGGUACUGACGCUGAUGUGCGAAAGCGUGGGGAGCAAAUAGG